rnacentral:rRNA from 1 species
GGGCGUAAAGAGCUCGUAGGCGGUUGGUCGCGUCUGCUGUGAAAACCCGAGGCUCAACCUCGGGCCUGCAGUGGGUACGGGCCAACUAGAGUGCGGUAGGAGAGAUCGGAAUUCCUGGUGUAGCGGUGGAAUGCGCAGAUAUCAGGAGGAACACCAAUGGCGAAGGCAGAUCUCUGGGCCGUAACUGACGCUGAGGAGCGAAAGCGUGGGGAGCGAACAGGAUUAGAUACCCUGGUAGUCCACGCCGUAAACGGUGGGAACUAGUUGUAGGGGCCAUUCCACGGCUUCUGUGACGAAGCUAACGCAUUAAGUUCCCCGCCUGGGGAGUACGGCCGCAAGGCUAAAACUCAAAGGAAUUGACGGGGGCCCGCACAAGCGGCGGAGCAUGCGGAUUAAUUCGAUGCAACGCGAAGAACCUUACCAAGGCUUGACAUAUAGAGGAAACGUGCAGAGAUGUACGCCCCGCAAGGUCUCUAUACAGGUGGUGCAUGGUUGUCGUCAGCUCGUGUCGUGAGAUGUUGGGUUAAGUCCCGCAACGAGCGCAACCCUUGUCCUAUGUUGCCAGCGCGUAAUGGCGGGGACUCAUAGGAGACUGCCGGGGUCAACUCGGAGGAAGGUAAU